rnacentral:rRNA from 1 species
UGGGGAAUAUUGCACAAUGGGCGCAAGCCUGAUGCAGCCAUGCCGCGUGUGUGAAGAAGGCCUUCGGGUUGUAAAGCACUUUCAGCGAGGAGGAAGGUGGUGAGCUUAAUACGCUCAUCAAUUGACGUUACUCGCAGAAGAAGCACCGGCUAACUCCGUGCCAGCAGCCGCGGUAAUACGGAGGGUGCAAGCGUUAAUCGGAAUUACUGGGCGUAAAGCGCACGCAGGCGGUUUGUUAAGUCAGAUGUGAAAAUCCCCGGGCUCAACCUGGGAACUGCAUUUGAAAACUGGCAAGCUAGAGUCUCGUAGAGGGGGGUAGAAUUCCAGGUGUAGCGGUGAAAUGCGUAGAGAUCUGGAGGAAUACCGGUGGCGAAGGCGGCCCCCUGGACGAAGACUGACGCUCAGGUGCGAAAAGCGUGGGGAGCAAAACAGGAUUAGAUACCCUGGUAAGUCCACGCUGUAAAAACGAUGUCGAUUUGGAGGUUGUGCCCUUGAGGCGUGGCUUCCGGAGCUAAACGCGUUAAAAUCGACCGCCUGGGGAGU